rnacentral:lncRNA from 1 species
UGACUAGAUCCCAAGAGCCAAGGCAACUUUUCCAGCUCUGUCAGUGUGUGCAGAGAAAAUGAGACAGGCUUCCCUUCCAGAAUGCAUGAACCAUCCCUGAACUUUGAAGAGGGGAAGUCCCAUGGGGAAUUCUAACCAAGGAACAAUCCUGCCUUUGUGAAGAGCAAUCAUCCAACUGCUGGGGUUGUUCUGCAUGGGACUGCACCGCACGUCUCAUUCUCUACCUUUUUAGAAAUUCUCUCUAAGCAAAUAUCUCUGGCUUUUUCUUUUAAGAACGAUUACACAAUUGCCCAGCUGCUAGGCUUAUACAAGUAACCUGAUAAUAGCAAAGCAAUACGCUGUCCAGUGUUCAAACACCGCCACACAACAACAAAGCAGGCUGGAGUGCCCGUUCUUGUUCACAGCCUGCAAACAGAAGCAGUACAAGUCAAAGCCACCCACUUUCCCCAUUUCAGGAGAACACAGUAGCAAGACGUUUGGUCCCAAGAUGGAUUUUUUUGUCUCUUCCAAUUUGCAGGAUGUUCUGCAUGCAGGGAGAAUGUGAAGUCACGUUCUUUGGCAGAAUAACUCAACAGUGUGAUUCAAUGACGCACUCCCUUUUUUAACCAAAGUUAGUACCCCUGAUGGCCAGCAGUGGGGCUUACAGGUCUUCAAGUUACAGACAAGCCAGCAAUUCAGAGGACAAGGAUUGAGUCUUC